UUAGGGCGUGGGGUCUUCGCUUUGUGAUAGCUUAUGCUCCUCCUCUCAGGAGCAAUGAAGCUUACUGCAGAAGGAUCCUGAUCGUGUGCCGCGUCAUUCUUGCGGGCGAGAUAGAGCGCGGGACACCUCCCCCCUUAUCUUUUCCUAUACCUCUUUAUCUGGCCCUCCAAAAUCUCAAUGGCUAAUUCUGGUUUAGCUUUAUUAGCAGUGUAGGAUUGUCAGGAUGAACGGAUGUCCCACAACACAGGUGUUUGGGAUUUAACCUUUCACACAGUGCUUGGGCCCUGGACCCUCCCAAUUCAGGGAGGCGGCGAGAUAAGUACAAAGAAUAUGCAAUGUAACCAGCCAACUCACACUCCUGCUGCUGUGACUUCCCCGCCAUGAUAGACUGUACCCCUGAACCGGGAGCCAACAUGAAGCCUUUUUUCUUUCCUUGUUCUGUUUCAAAGAAGUAAAACCAAGGCAAAUGGCCAGUAGUUAUCUAGAGA